rnacentral:lncRNA from 1 species
CCGAAUCAACUAUUUUCCAAUAAAAGUUGUUUUUAUACCAUUUAUAAAUCAAUAAUCUCAUAAUGAAAUUUAAAAAAAAAGAAAAAUGCGGAAUAAUGACACAAGCCCGACAUCAGGGUGUCACUAGUCAUGAGCAUCUACCAAGGUCUGAAUACAACAAGAGUCUAAAAAUGCACUAAAUACAGUAAUGAAACUGAGGGGGGAGGAAAGCAGUGCUGCGAACGUUGUGCAGCCACCUUGCUAACUCCGAUGACUCCGCCUCUGAGUAAUCAACACUCGUUACUGGAUUUCGAAAUACCUGAAUCUGCACAUAAGGUGUAGGGAGUAAUGUGAGUACUCCAACCUAGUAAGUAAUAAGAGUAAAUAAAGAUUGAGCAAUAAGAAAACGCGUCAACCACGUCUUAGCACCAUAGUGAUUACAACCUGUUUCCAAAUCAGAAUACCCCUCAAAUCACUUCAUUAAACUCCCACUUCAGUAAAAUCCAUUAAAAAUCAUCUUUUUAACCUUUUCAAUAUAGGUUUAAUGAAAUAUAUAUAUAUAUAUAUAUAUAUAUAUAUUGCAAGUCAUGAAAAUCAUAAUCGGCCCCUCACGCGAAACAUAGUUCGUAUACAGCCUUUCGGCAAAACAGAAAUUCAUACCCAUUUCAUAACUUAAAAUUUCAGUUCAAAUGAAAGUUGUUUAAAGCAUUUGUUCAACAUUUUCAAUAGGGCUCGGUCUAAAGAUGAGUGAAAGCAAUAAUUAAAUCAACAUAUUCAAUAGAAACUCACUUUAAGGAAGAGUGAAAAACACUAAGCUCAUGACCAGGCCCCUCAGGCAAACAUCACUCAUGUACAUGUAUAUAGAUAGCCCCUCGGGCAAGCCUCUCAGUCACUCGUUACUCAACUCUUAUGAAUCAGCGCUCACACUCAGCACUCACACUCAAUAGGUACCAUAUAGUAACCGCUGCGGCGUACAGCUCGAUCCAUAUAUUGCUGCGACGUGCAGCCCGAUCUAUAUAUAUAGUCGACUGCGCUCAUUGGGGAUAUGCAGACUCCGGAUGGGCUCCUAUAGCCCAAGUGCUAUAUAGCUGUGGCAUGCAGCCCGAUCCAUAUAUAUAUAUAUAUAUAUAUUGUUGUGGCGUGCAGCGCGAUCCAUAAAUGUAUAAUCCUUACAACCAGGCCCUCAAUCUCUCAGUCAUUAACCUCACGAUCACUCGGACCAUCAGUAAAACAGGGAACUCAGCCCAAACAGUUUUCACAUUUUAAGAAGUAAAGUGAUAAAACCAGAUUUAAACAAUAAACAGGUAAAACAUGACUGAGGAAAUGUUUUCGAAACAAUAGAGUGAGGAAAAAUAGUGAAAGUGCCUCUAAGGGUCUCAACAGGUCGGCACAAGGCCCCAAACAUGGCAUAUAACCCAAAAUAUAAUAUCAAUAUCUAAAAUAUGGAAUAUCAUAAGAUUUCAAAUCAAAUACGCAACUUAUCAGUCGUACGGGACGGACCAAGUCACAAUUCUCAACGGUGCACGACUCCACGCUCGUCAUCUAGCGUGUGCGUCACCUCAAAGUAGUACAAUGAUGUGAAAUCUGGGGUUUCAAACCCUCAGGAUAGUAUUUACAAUCAUUACUUACCUCGAUCCGGUCCAAACUCUAGCCUGCGAUGUCUUUGUCCUUACGAAUCAACUUCUGGAUGCUCCAAAUCUAGCCACAAUCAGUACAUAACUAUUAAAAUAUGCUAAGGGAACAAAGCCCACUCGAAAAUAUCUAAUUUACAUAAAAAAUCUCGAAAUUGCACAAACCCGGCUCCCGGCCCAUGUCUUGGAAUCCGAAAAAAGUCACAUCAAUAGAAUUAUCAUUCUCUCACGAGUCUAUACAUACCAAGAACAUCAAAAUCGGAUCUCAAUUGCCCCUUCAAAUUCCUAAUUUACACUCUCAAAUCCAAGCCCUAAUUCCCCAAUUUUUAGGCUUUAAUUUCCACAUUUUUUUCAUGAUUAAACAAGUAAGAAUCAACAUUGGAUCAAGUAUUGAGUUAAAAAAUCUUACCUCCAGGUGUUAUCCCUUGAAUCCCUUUUCAAGUCCUCUCAAAAAGCUCCAAAAUCGCCCAAAAAUGGUGAAAGUUAGCCCCAAAAUUGCGGACAAUGGCUAUUUAAACGUUCUGCCCAGGCAUCCAAAACCUUCUUCGCGAACGCGGUCAACGCCUCGCGUUUGCGAAGCACAAAAUAACUUUGACCCAAAAUUACUCUUCGUGAUCGCGACCAGCCACUCGCGAACGCGAUGGCUCCUCAGCUUGACCCUUCGUGAUCGGGUUACCUCUCUCGCGAACGCGAUGAAUAAAACACCUCAAGCCCAACUGGCUAAUUUCCUCUACACGAACGCAGAGCUUCACCCGCGAACGCGAUGCCCAAACAAUUAGCCCUUUGCGAACGCGGAGCCUUCUUCGCGAACGGAAGGCUAAAAUUCCAGCCUUUACCAGCUAACCCUUCGCGAACGCGAAGGCCAUUUCUCCGCAACACUGAUCAGCAAUUUUCUGCAAUUUCAAACAACAUGCAAUGGUCCAAUUGACCACCCGAAACUCACCCGAGACCCUCGGGACCUCAACCAAACAUACCAACAUAUCCCAUAACAUCAUUCAAACUUGUUCCAACCUUCGGAAUGCUCAAAGCAACAUCAAAAUAUCAAAAUCACAUCGGAUUCAAGCCUAAGAAUUCCAAGAACUUCCAAAUCACACUUUUGAUCAAAAACUCAUCCAAACCACGUCCGAAUGACCUGAAAUUCUGCACACAUGUCACAAAUGACACAACGGAGCUGCUGCAACUUCCGGAAUUCCAUUCCGACCCUAUAUCAAAAUCUCACCUAUCAACUCGAAAAUGCCAAAAUCUCAAUUUCGCCAAUUCAAGCCUAAACCUUCCACGGACUUCCAAAAUGCAUUUCGGUCACGCUCUUGAGUCCCAAAUCACCUAACAGAGCUAACCAAAUUAUAAAAAUUUCGAUCCGAGAUCAUAUACUAACAAGUCAAAUCUUGGUCAAUCCUUUCAAAUUUCAAGCUUCAAACUGAGAAUCGAGAUUCAGCCCAUUAUGGGCAUUUAUUUUUUUAUUUUUUACACGUCUAAAUAUGUCUAAAUAGGUCUGAAUUGGUGAGACCUUAAACCUAGUCUUAAUAGUGUCCAAACCCUUUAAAACACGCUUUUAUUUCCCAAAACUUCACGCUUAAUUUUUUCAUGCCUCUCUUUUCUUUUCUCUGUUAUAUCCCAUACUUUAAUAUUAGUAAUUGAAGAAAAUCGAGAUUUAAAUUAAGAAUAAAUAAUAAUAGCACUUUUUAUGGAACAACAUAUGUUACAUUUCGUUUCUAAUAUUUCUUUGUUAGGAAAUUUUUAGAAUUAAACUAAUGGCUAUGGAAUGUUCUUCAAAUGUAAAUUUUAGUUAAUUAGAGCCAAAUAACAAUGAUGAUAUUAGUAAUAAUAAGAAUAAUAAUCAAGACUAUAAACGAUCAGGCCUUUUAUCACUCGCUCUAGCUUAUAUUUGAUUGCCACUUUUAAGUAGUUAAAGCAAUGCAGCCGUGACGAGGAUACUCUAGGAUUUCUAGGAAUUACAGGCUCCAGAAUUUAAGUAGAUAAACAAAGAAAUUCACAGGACAAUAAAGACCCCGUAAGUUUAACAACAUUGACACCGUUAUAUAUAUUAGAUAUGAUAUUUUGAGUGAAAUAUUUUUGUAAAAAGUUUGAAAAAAAUAUAUAUGAUUUUAUAUAGUUAUUAAUAUUACUACUUUCGAAUAUGUUGUAAAUUAUACAUAUAUAUAACAUGAGGAAGUUUAUGAGAUUUUUUUUAUUGUAAAGAUAAAAAUUAUUUUCUCACAAGAAAAGAAGGUUAUCUUUUACCAUAUUAAAAAUUAAGCGUACGAAAAUUUUACUCUUUAUAUGAGAGUAGGAAAAUUAGAAGUUGAGAAAAUAUAUGAAUCUUUACAUGAAUGUUUUAAUGAAAUAAUAGUGUAUAUAUUUUUUAUAUGAUACCACAUGACCAUGAUAGUAGGGUAUAUAUAAAGUGUAUUAAAAGUGAAUAGUAUAUCAAGUAAUUUGAAAUAAUUCUUAAUUAUACGGGUAAUUAAUUAAUUAUCGGAUAACGGGUCAUUACUUAGUUAAUUAAUAGUUAAGAGAUAAGAUAAAAUACCCUACCCGCAUGUGACAGCCCCCUUUUAAUUUAAAAAUGACUCAUUAGUCAUUUUUCUACAACAAAAAGCUAGAGCCUUUUUGGUAUGUAAGCAAUGUAAGGCACAUGCUUUCAUAGUUUUCCUAGUUCAUCUCGGACUCAAAAUCUUAACUAUUAUAAGAUUAUGGUUUUACUAUAAAAGUGCACACAAAUACAUUAAUCAACCACUAUACAUUUUUCUACUUCAAAAUCAAUCCCUUUCCAGAAUACAAUUCAAGAAACAACAAAAUUCCUUUCCAAAACCAGUACUCACUCAAAGAAAUAUGGCAGUUGAGAUUGCAGGAACAACAACACCAAGGCAAUGGUCUAAUUUUUCAAAAAAAUUGGGUUCAAAAUCCACUACUUACAUGCUUGGACAACAAAAAAAGUGCUCGCUCCGACCCUUAUUCCGUCCAUGUUGAGAAGUCCAUUACAUUGUCUGCAUUUCCAUUUGAGAUAUUCCAAAAUAGAAAUAUCUGUUAAUAUAAGUUGUUUAUUUAGGUUUCUACACCUUUUAUUGGAUAUACUAAGAAAUAGUUUAACCUGAGGAAAUUGUGGAAACAGUUAAAUGAAGGUGUAACGCUCACAGUAAUGCCUCCUCAAAGAAGUGGAAGUUCGAACUUAGAGAAUAUCAUACGGAUUUUUUCUUACUUCAGGUAUGUUAAGGCUAUCCAUUCUUUCCUUUUGGCAUGAUCCAUACGAUGCAAACGAAACGAGCAAAUGUACAACUUCCAUAAAUGACUCUAUUCAUAGAAACGCUAGAGAUACUUAUAUUAUUGAUUCCAUAUUAUUAUAUCAUUUGGUCAUGAGUCUCAGAAAAAUACGUAAGUUGAAAAAAGUUUAUUUCAUGAUAUUAUUCAAAGGCAUAAUGGUCUUAUGACAUUCCGAAAGAUUUUAUUAACGUACUUCUCAUGCAUUGCAUUCGUUUACAUGUGCAUUUACCCAUGACUCAGACGGCGUUAUAUACGUGUAUAUAUGUAUAUAAAUGUAUAUGGGAUAUGGGAAAAUGUUACGGCGUUAUAUACACACCACUACCUGAUCAGCUUGUAUACGAUGAUGAUGUUGCCCAUAAUGGCUGAAAUAUGACUCAGAAGGCAUUAUAUAUGCGUAUAUAUGUAAAUGGGAUAUGGAAAAAGGUUACGACGUUAUAUACGCACCACCACCUGAUCAGCUGGUAUACGUUGAUGAUUUUGCCCACAGUGAUCCAGAUGAUAUGAUGGGAUGUCCUCAAAGGCUUAAUGAUGUUAUGAGCACAUGUACCUAUGCACAACAUGGCAUUCAUACGCAUAUGCAUGAAACUAUAAUUAUUAAAUGAUAUAUAGAAUUAUCCAGUCUUACAGGUUGAGUCAUGUACUCCAUGUUCUUUCAUGUCCUUUAUAUACUGAUUUACAUGCCUUACAUACUCAGUANNNNNNNNNNNNNNNNNNNNNNNNNNNNNNNNNNNNNNNNNNNNNNNNNNNNNNNNNNNNNNNNNNNNNNNNNNNNNNNNNNNNNNNNNNNNNNNNNNNNNNNNNNNNNNNNNNNNNNNNNNNNNNNNNNNNNNNNNNNNNNNNNNNNNNNNNNNNNNNNNNNNNNNNNNNNNNNNNNNNNNNNNNNNNNNNNNNNNNNNNNNNNNNNNNNNNNNNNNNNNNNNNNNNNNNNNNNNNNNNNNNNNNNNNNNNNNNNNNNNNNNNNNNNNNNNNNNNNNNNNNNNNNNNNNNNNNNNNNNNNNNNNNNNNNNNNNNNNNNNNNNNNNNNNNNNNNNNNNNNAUGAGCCUCAUAGUAGACGAGAUUGGCAUUCAACGAAUGAUCGGUAAAACUUCACCUCAUUCGGAGUGCAGUCGAGUCUAUGCGUCAUCGUGUCAGAGUUUUGCUAUAGACUUAUGGAUAGGCCGGUACCCUGUUCCAUUUGAUGUCAGUUAAUCUUAGAGGCUUUGUAGACAGACGUUCAGUUUGUACAGUAGGUCAGAGGCCUUGACGGCCCAUGUGUAUUCAUGUUUUAAGAAAAAUGGUUGAGUGGUACAAUGUUUUUUUUCCACUUACAAUUGUACAUUAUGACUUGUAGCCAUGGUUGCCCAUGAUAGUUAUAAAAGGAAUGAAUGAGUUACAAAGUGGUUCGCUCGAGCCGCUACGACACCGGGUGCCAGCCACGCCUCCCCAGGUUCGGGGCGUGACAAAGUGGUAUCAGAGCGGAUCGUGUCCUAGAGAAGUCAAAAAAGUCGUGCCUAGUAGAGUCUCACUUAUGGGUGUGUUGCGCGCCACAUUUAUAAUUGAGAGGCUAUAGGGCAUUUAGGAAAUGUUACCCUUCUUUUGUUUCCAGAUCGUGCCAUAGAGUUGAGUCGUAACAAAUCAGUAUGAAGCUUUCGUCAAAUAUUGUAUGCACCAGAGGUGUAGGUAUCGAGCUUUAAGGCGUAAUAGUCACUUAUGUUGAAGAAAUGUUAUGAAAGCGACAAAAGAUACGAUGCAAGAUUGAAAGGUAAAUAAGGUAAAGGUGAAGAGGAUAUAAGAUACUCAAGUGCAAAGGGUGUGAAUUGUCCAGACUUCAAACAGAGGUUGAGUUUUAGUUUAAGUUUACAGAGGGGACUUUAGCAAAAAUUUUGUUAGUUUCUAAGAGUCAACAUUCGAGGAUGAAUGUUUCUAAAGGGGGGAAGGAUGUUACAUUCCAUACUUUAAUAUUAGUAAUUGAAGAAAAUCGAGAUUUAAAUUAAGAAUAGAUAAUAAUAGCACUUUUUAUAGAACAAUGUAUGGUACAUUUGGUUUCUAAUAUUUCUUUGUAGGAAAUUUUUAGAAUUAAACUAAUGGCUGUCACACCUUCUUUUUUCUACCCCGAAAGGGGUAUAGGGGAGUUUUUUUCAAAUUAAAGUGAUAAUAACCAAAACAUGAUUAUUUAUUUAAGAUUCAGAGUCGCCUCUUGGGAUAAUUUAUAGUAUCCCAAGUCACCGGUUUAAAAUCCUGAAUCGAGAAAGUUGACUCUUAUUUAUGGUCUGCGAACACAGAAAUCUAGGUAAGGAAUUAUGUUAACCCGGGAGAAAGUGUUAGGCAUUCCCGGAUUCCGUGGUUUUAGCACGGUCGCUCAACUAUUAUUAUUGACCUAAUUAUCUGAUUUUAAAACAUCUUUGAAACCUAUGUGCAUUUUUAUCUCUUUUAAACCGCUUUUAAUAAUCCAUGAUUGUCAUACAGCUAAUUAUUUGAUACACAAUUGCGAAUCAUAUCACGGGAACCGUACCCAUGAUCUAAAACAUAUUUAUUUUAUUAACAAAAUUAAAUUAUGACCGGGUCACAUAGAUGUACCCCGGAUUUAGGAAUUACGUAUCGUAACCAUACCACGAAAACCGUAACCAUGACCACGAUAAUUUAUUUACGCACCUAAAACAAACUAUGUUUGUUUAUAAGUUAAUUAAUCUAUUAAUUUACAAGAGACAAAAUACUUAUUAAUUUCCCUGGGCUUAAUCAUCCCAUAGCCAAAAUAUUCAGUAGCCAGACUUACCGCUUGAAAGGUUAGGCUAACUUCUGCCGAAACCCAAAUGAACUUAAAAGCUACACUCUCAAAAGAUGCCAUAUGACCCCUUAACAAAUGAAUCAGCUCCUAAUUAACAAUUGGCCAACAUGAAUAUUUUUUCCUUCUUAAUAUAACAUUCACAACGUGCUAGAAAUUAACAACUUAUGCAAUAACCAACAAAGCUCAACAAUACGAUGGAACAAAAAUUUGUAGGAGAAUUAUUCUAAUCUCACAAAUCACAUAAAGACAAAAUCAUAUAUCCAUGAACUUGGUAUUCAAAUAAAAGUAUAUCGGAAGAGAAGAACCUCAAUGACGGCUGCCGAGAAGAAUACUUGAACAAGAAUCGAAGACCGUUGAUCCAGACCUCGGAACGGCAACCUCGACAUCAAUGAAAAUUCCUAUCCGUUUUCCCCCUUUUACUGUAUCUCUACUAGUUGAAAAGGCAAUUAAGCAUAGGAAAAUAGCGACCUUUAACCCAGUUUUGCCAUCCAUGCCCUUGAAACUUCUAUAAGCUCAAUCGGAAGCUCCGCAUAGAACAAAUUGUAUUAUUUUCUUUUUCUAUCUUAUGAUCACCGACGACGGCGAUGAUUUGCAAGGUCCACCGACGAUAAAUGCAGAAUGGUCCAAGCUUGUAGGCAGGCAAAAAAAGGUGAAUUGGGUUUGACUAUAAUUGCAAUUAUUUAUCUUCAAUGUGAAUUUUUCUGCGGCUUCUAUUUAGAGGUUGCCUUCGGAAUUUUUGAAAAGGGCAGAAGCUGCCGUUUUUGCUUUCUUCUUUUGGAAUUAGGAAUUCAAAGUCUGCUCCUUUUUUGUUCUUUCAAAUGAGAGUCAAAUAUCCCUUUUCAAAGGGCUGUUGGUCUUUGAAGAAAGAGGAGUGGUUCGGCUAUUGCUAAGGAGAAGAUGUCAAGCUCCUCCCAUUUUCUUCAGCCGUUUUUU